UGGAUAACUGUAAUAACUCUAGAGCUAAUACAUGCCUCGAUGCCCUGACCCUCACGGGGAUGGGUGCACUUAUUAGAUCAGAAGCCAACCGUGUUCAGCCGUGGCGACAUGGCUGGGCGCGUUGACCUUCUGGUGACUCUGGAUAAUUGUUACAGAUCGCAGUCGGCCUUGAGUCGGCGACGGGUCCUUCAAAUGUCUGCCCUAUCAACUUUCGAUGGUAGGUGACCUGCCUACCAUGGUGAUAACGGGUAACGGGGAAUCAGGGUUCGAUUCCGGAGAGGGAGCCUGAGAAACGGCUACCACUUCCAAGGGAGGCAGCAGGCGCGCAAAUUACCCACUCCCAGUACGGGGAGGUGGUGACGAAAAAUACCGAUGCGGGACUCCUUAAAGAGGCUCCGUAAUCGGAAUGAGUGGACUAUAAAUCCUUUCACGAGGAUCAAUUGGAGGGCAAGUCUGGUGCCAGCAGCCGCGGUAACUCCAGCUCCAAUAGCGUAUAUUAAAGUUGCUGCAGUUAAAAAGCUCGUAGUUGGAUCUCGGUAGCGCUGUUGCCUGUUGGUCUUUGGGUGGAUGGUUGCCGUAGCUAUCGUCGUUGUCGUUGGCGGUGCAUGGGCGUGGCCCGUGUUACUGCAGAUGCGGCGUUGGCUGCGGCGGCAGCUGUGCAUUCCAAGCUAGCGGGGUAGCGGUGCGACCUGUAAGCCAUGUCUGUGGUGAAAACUGCAGGUGUGAGCGAGUGUCGGGCGACGUCCUGCGGUAGUGGGGCUUGUCGGCUCGUUUGCAUGCCUCUGGAUGCCCUUAAAAAGGUGUCUGUGGGCGGAUGGCACGUUUACUUUGAACAAAUUUGAGUGCUCAAAUCAGGCCGAUGUUGCCUGAAAAGU
rnacentral:rRNA from 1 species